rnacentral:snRNA from 1 species
AUCGCUUCUCGGCCUUUUGGCUAAGAUCAAGUGAAGAUUAUGUGAUAGUAAACAUUUAGAUUUUGGAAAAGUAAUUCUGAAUUUGUGUUCAGAAAUUUACCAGAUUUGUGGCCAUGUGAACAUUUCUUAAUCUCUUUGCUCCUCAGUGUCCUUGUCUGCAAAGUGACAGUAGUAAUACCUGC